rnacentral:rRNA from 1 species
CAGCCGCCGCGGUAAUACAGAGGGUGCAAGCGUUAAUCGGAAUUACUGGGCGUAAAGCGCGCGUAGGUGGUUUGUUAAGUUGGAUGUGAAAUCCCCGGGCUCAAUCUGGGAACUGCAUCCAAAACUGGCAAGCUAGAGUAUGGUAGAGGGUGGUGGAAUUUCCUGUGUAGCGGUGAAAUGCGUAGAUAUAGGAAGGAUCACCAGUGGCGAAGGCGACCACCUGGACUGAUACUGACACUGAGGUGCGAAAGCGUGGGGAGCAAACAGGAUUAGAUACCCCCGUAGUCCCUGUCUCUUAUAC